CCGGAAGUCAGAAAGCGGAGCCUUUCUUACACCGGAAGUCAAUGAAGCGGGUCUUUCCUACGCUAAAAACCACUGAGUGGAGUAUUUAGUACACAGGAAGUCGGCCAGAGAAACAUUUCUCAUAUUUGAAGGCCGGAAAGAGGGACAUUUCUGACACCGGAAGUCAGUGAGAGGACUCUUUCCCACACAGGAAGUCAGCUAGAGAGCCGUCUCCCCUCUCUGGAGCCGAGAGAGGCCGGUUUCCCCCACCGUAGCCCACCUGGGAGGAAUUUUCCAGAGAUCACUGUCUGAUGACCCUGUCUUGGAAUUGGAGCCAUGCAAGUUACACUGACCACGUUUGGGUUGGGAUAUUGAGGAGGUUAUGGUUAAAAGCAUACGAUGGGAGAUCAUAUUGUACUUGCGAGUGAGACCCGGCUGGAGGAAUGUUUUAAUUCUUCGGAAAUACCAAGUGGUCUCUGUAAGUAACAUAGGGUGGUUAGCCAA
rnacentral:lncRNA from 1 species